UUACCCACACAUGGGAUCAAAGGAUACCAUAACGAUG
rnacentral:rRNA from 1 species